GGAGCAGGUCUACUGUCUCCUUUGGGUCUUUUUGCGGUCUGGGCUUGCUGUUCCUCUCCACAGUAGUCAGGAAGCCCUUACCCCAAAAAGUAUCCGCGGGAGGCCUUGUC
rnacentral:pre_miRNA from 1 species